AGGACGAACGCUGGCGGCGCGCCUAACACAUGCAAGUCGAGCGAUAACCAGUCCUUCGGGACUGGGGACAGCGGCGAACGGGUGAGUAACACGUGGGUGAUCUACCCUCGGUUUCGGGAUAGCCCGGGGAAACCCGGAUUAAUACCGAAUGGCCUCUAGAGCUCUCGGGCUCGAGAGAAAAGGUAGCUUCGGCCUCUGACCGAGGAUGAGCCCGCGGCCGAUUAGCUAGUUGGUGGGGUAACGCCCACCAAGGCGACGAUCGGUAGCUGGUCUGAGAGGACGAUCAGCCACACUGGGACUGAGACACGGCCCAGACUCCUACGGGA
rnacentral:rRNA from 1 species